rnacentral:rRNA from 1 species
UCUAGAUUAAGCCAUGCAUGUCUAGUAUAAACACGUUUGUACUGUGAAACUUGCAGAUGGCUUCAUUACAACAGUUAUAGUUUAUUUGACAGUGCCUGUUACACGGAUAACCGUAGUAACUCUAGGGCUAAUACGUGCCAAAGCCGGAGUCCCUCCGGCGUGCAUAUUAGCUAAAAACCAGUUGUGGUUGAACAAUAAUAUUUGUCGGAUCGCGUUGGCCUUGCCAGCGACAUGUCAUUCAAGUUUCUGCCCUAUCAGCUUGACGGUAGGCUAUUGGCCUACCGUGGCCCUGACGGUACGGAGAAUCCGGGGUUCGGCUCCGGAGAGGCAGCCUGAGAAACGGCUACCACAUCCACGGAAGGCAGCAGGUGCGCAAAUUACCCAAUUCUGACUCAGAGAGGUAGUGACAAGAAAUAACGGUUAGCAGCAAAAAAUUGCUUGCAUUCCGGAAUGAGAACAACCUAAACUCCUUAUCGACUAACAAGUGGAGGGCAAGCCUGGUGCCAGCAGCCGCGGUAAUACCAGCUCCACUAGCGUAUACUAAAGUUGUUGCUGUUAAAAAGCUCGUAGUUGGAUAUCAGCCCGCGCGGAAGACGCCGCUGCGUUUGCAGAGAGGCGUCGAAGCGGCUCGCCGCGCAGCGCGGGCUUAGUUCAGGGGGCCGUUCUGGGCAUUAGCUUGCCUGGGGCGGCGCAUCCUGAUCCUUUACUUUGAGAAAAUUAAAGUGCUCAAAGCAGGUUCCGCCUGGAUGCAUUAGCAUGGAAUAAUAAAACACGACUUUGGCGCCUUCGGGCCUUUGUUGGUUUUGAGCCGAAGUAAUGAUUGAUAGGAACAAUUGGGGGUGCUAGUAUCGCCGGGCCAGAGGUAAAAUUCUUUAAUUCCGGUGAGACUGCCUUAUGCGAAAGCAUUCACCAAGUGUGUUUUCUUUAAUCAAGAACUAAAGUUGAGGGAUCGAAGACGAUCAGAUACCGUCGUAGUCUCAACCAUAAACUAUGUCGACUAAGCAUUGGGCAAGUGGAUACUUCCUCAGCACUUCACGAGAAAUCAAAGUUUUCGGACUCAGGGGGAAGUAUGCUCGCAAGAGUGAAACUUAAAGGAAUUGACGGAAGGGCACCACCAGGUGUGGAGCCUGCGGCUUAAUUUGACUCAACACGGGGAAACUUACCAGGGCCAGACAUAGCCAGGAUUGACAGAUUGAAGUUCUUUCUUGAUUCUAUGCAUGGUGGUGCAUGGCCGUUCUUAGUUGGUGGAGUGAUUUGUCUGGUUAAUUCCGAUAACGAACGAGACCUCAGCCAUCUAAAUAGCCGUCGCUAGUCUAGCGCUCGCAAGAGUUCGGCUUCUUAGAGGGACCGCCCGCGGGAGCGGGAGGAAGUUUGAGGCGAUAACAGGUCAGUGAUGCCCUUAGAUGCUCUGGGCUGCACGCGCGCUACAAUGACGCACUCAGCGAGGGCCCGGCUUGGCAAGGCCGGGGAACCUGCAACGUGCGUCUUGGUUGGGAUAGAUGAUUGCAAUUCUUCAUCUUGAACAAGGAAUAUCUAGUAAACGCGAGUCAUCAACUCGCAUUGAAUACGUCCCUGCCCUUUGUACACACCGCCCGUCGCUUCUACCGAUUGAAUAAUCCGGUGAAUUGGGUGGAUAGGCGCGGCCGCUUCGGCAGGACGCGCCUAGAAGCUCUGUGAACCUUAUUAUUUAGAGGAAGGACAAGUCGUAACAAGGUUUCC